rnacentral:rRNA from 1 species
AACGAACGCUGGCGGCAUGCCUAACACAUGCAAGUCGAACGAGACCUUCGGGUCUAGUGGCGCACGGGUGCGUAACGCGUGGGAACUUGCCCUUAGGUUCGGAAUAACUCCCCGAAAGGGGUGCUAAUACCGGUUAAUGUCUUCGGACCAAAGAUUUUUCGCUUUUGGAUGGGCGCGCGUUGGAUUAGCUAGUUGGUAGGGUAAAAGCCUACCAAGGCGACGAUCCAUAGCUGGUCUGAGAAGAUGAUCCGCCAGACUGGGACUGAGACACGGCCCAGACUCCUACGGGAGGCAGCAGUAGGGAGUAUUAGACAAUGGGCGAAAGCCUGGUCCAGCAAUGCCGCGUGAGUGGUGAAGGCCGUAGGGUUGUAAAUCUCUUUUACCCGGGAUGAUAAUGACAGUACCGGGAGAAUAAGCUCCGGCUAACUCCGUG